UAAAAGUGGUUCGUAAACAUCCCACUUAAAAAAACUAGGA
rnacentral:ncRNA from 1 species